rnacentral:rRNA from 1 species
UCUACGGGUGGCAGCAGUGAGGAAUAUUGGUCAAUGGGCGAGAGCCUGAACCAGCCAAGUCGCGUGAGGGAUGAAGGCCCUACGGGUUGUAAACUUCUUUUGCCGGGGAGCAAGUGGGUCCACGCGUGGGCUUCGCGAGAGUACCUGAAGAAAAAGCAUCGGCUAACUCCGUGCCAGCAGCCGCGGUAAUACGGAGGAUGCGAGCGUAAUCCGGAUCUAUUGGGUUUAAAGGGUGCGUAGGCGGGAUUUUAAGUCAGCGGUAAAAAUUCGGGGCUCAACCCCGUCGUGCCGUUGAAACUGAUGUACUUGAGUGGGCGAGGAGAAAGCGGAAUGCGUGGUGUAGCGGGGAAAUGCAUAGAUAUCACGCAGAACACCGAUUGCGAAGGCAGCAUACCGGCGCCCAACUGACGCUGAGGCACGAAAGCGUGGGGAUCGAACAGGAUUAGAUACCCUAGUAGUC